rnacentral:rRNA from 1 species
GAUGAACGCUGGCGGCGUGCCUAACACAUGCAAGUCGAACGGAAUUUACAUGAAGCCUAGCGAUUGUAAAUUUAGUGGCGGACGGGUGAGUAACGCGUGGGUAACCUGCCUUGUACUGGGGGACAACAGUUGGAAACGACUGCUAAUACCGCAUAAGCGCACAGCUUCGCAUGAAGCAGUGUGAAAAACUCUGGUGGUACAAGAUGGACCCGCGUCUGAUUAGCUGGUUGGUGAGGUAACGGCCCACCAAGGCGACGAUCAGUAGCCGGCCUGAGAGGGUGAACGGCCACAUUGGGACUGAGACACGGCCCAAACUCCUACGGGAGGCAGCAGUGGGGAAUAUUGCACAAUGGGGGAAACCCUGAUGCAGCAACGCCGCGUGAGUGAAGAAGUAUUUCGGUAUGUAAAGCUCUAUCAGCAGGAAAGAAAAUGACGGUACCUGACUAAGAAGCCCCCGGCUAAACUACGUG